GCUUGUGUGCUGACAUUUGAUUUUAUGCUGGUGAAAACAAGAUCAAGAAAGCUCACAGUUUGCAAAUCUGCAGCAGAGGCUAUCCCAGGAGCAGGUUUCACCUGUCACGAAGUGUGUGGACAACUAAGCUGUGGAUGAUGGGGUGUGUCUGGCUAUAAUUCUACUAAUCAGCGCAAUCAAGGUCUUAUGUCAUUCCAGCCCAGAUCUAACUCCAAGGUAUUUCCUUAAUUCUAGACCUGGUGAACUUUCCUAUGGAAGGUUCCAGAAGCCAAAUUUGAAUAUCCCGUCGAGAUCAGAAGAUCAGAAUCACAGGUAUCAGAACCAGAGCAAGAGCUCAUUCAUACAUGGUACAGGGACAGGGCUAGCCCGGAAACAGCUCCAAGGGCCUGGAAAUGGGGAGACGCAACUGUACUUGGAAUUGAAAAGGAACCGCGAAAUCGCCACAAGCCAUCAGUUCUGCGGCAGGAAAUCCAGAGUAAGUGGUGACAGAGUCUCCUCCAGCAGCCCACAGUCAGCUGAGCUCUCACGGCUGCUGGCCGAUGAACGAGGCGGCGCACCUCCUCAGGAGGAAAGGCUGUAUGGUGCACUACAGUCGGCCCAGCAGCCCCAGUUUAAUUUAAUGAGACAGACAUGUGCAUCAGUCAGUAUGCCUGCAGAACGGCAAGGACACAGGGCCGCUCACAGUGGCAUAGCUUGUGAGCACAGGAGAUGGAGGACAGCUCAGACGCAACCUCUCCAGGUCUGCUUGAAGAAUACGAAGCUGUCAGCGAAUAAAGAAGCUGCCGGGGGAAGAGCUCUGGAACUCAGUGGGAAAAAAUGAACACAGCACUACAUAGAAAGGGAGGGGUAGUAACAUACAUUAUCAUCUGCUUGCGAUUAUGUGAAGAAAUAGAAGGACAAGCAGACUGAGGAGCAAGAGUCAAUGAUGAAGAGGUGGGGGAGUUGCACAGAUUGGGGGGGGGCGGUCCUUGGGAGUGAGGCCUCUCACUGCAUGCAUCUUUCAACUUCAUACUAGGGUUUGAACAGUGUCAAGUAUCGUCUAGCUCAGCAGGAAGCUAGAGGUUAGCUAACCAUUAGGAUCAUCGUCAUGUGUCUCUUCUGCUGAGGACCCUUGAAGGCUUUCUCCAAUGCUGGCUCCUCCAGAAGCUUUCAACCCGAGGGAACUAUGGCCCAGCCUCCAGCAAUGUCUGAACGUUUACUACAGUGUCUGUUUCAUGCAGCUUACGUAACCAUCAUUAACCUGAUUGUCUCCCCUCGGUGAUACCACGCUCCGGGGGAAGGCUUCGAUGUGACUCAUCACAGCGCUUGGCACUGAGUAACUCAACUAACAUCUGUUGGAUGAAUGAAUAAUUUAGGGGAUCCUGAGAAGACCACGUCUACAUCAGGAGGCUUGGCAGCCAGGUGAGUGACAGAGAUUCUCUAGGAGGAACUGGGGUACUCAAGACCUAUGGAAACAAAUGCCAUCUCUGCACUGACUAUAAAGUCAGUCUACCCAGGCAUCUUCCAUUAUGACGUCUACCCUGUGUUGGCCCCAGGGAACAGCAAUCUUGGUGUUCUGACAUAAGGCCAGUGAUCUCCUUCAUUGUGCCUUCCCAGCACAGCUAUCUUGUCUACAGAAGGCCAUGUGGAUGGGCGAUUUCAUCGACUUUAAGCAAUAUGGGUAAUGGGGACAAUAAUUAUGGAGCUUUAACUGAUGCCUUUCCUUUCCCAUUCUCGGAGAUAGUCACUGAAAUGGCUAUGUGUGCGUAGAGCUGAGCCACAGGCAAGCAUCUUCACCCCCAGGCAGAUGAAGCUGUGUGGAUGAGGACUGGGAGGCAAUGAGGCGAACUGGUGCUGAGAGUUAUGAUCUCUAGUAACAUCACUCAGGAUUCCAACAGUGUUGCUCAUCCUGAGACCUCAAAGCCGGAAGGAGGCAGAUGGCUGGCGGGCGCCGAGGCUCACUUCCGCUUCCAUCCACUUGAACCCUUAAGGAAUUGGGGAUACAGCCCUAUAAAAUCAGGAUCUCUUCUACAUAAAGCCGAAGGAAGCAUGGAGGUGUUCUCUGUACUCUCAGUGACUCAUGGGACAUUGGCCAUUUGAGAUCCAGAGGAAUUUCAGGUGACAGCAGGGAGCUUUCGCCCUAGUGCCCAUCUUUACACUUGCCACCAUUACCAAGAUAAAAACCAGAUCCUACUUACAUGAGUCUCUGACUAACCCAUGCUGGUCAAGUCCAGUGUGUCUGUAUGCAUGACUCCUCCCCACAAGGGAAGGAAGGGGAAGGAACUGACCAAGUAAUGUUUGAAGAAGGCUUCUAUAGUAUGCACUUUCUGUGGUAUUAAGGAUUAUUACAUGUACUAGUGAACAUAAUUUCCCCAACAACUCUCUAGAUAGGCUCUACUUCACUCCACUUUUCAUAGGAGCAAUAAAGAAACCCAGAAAGAUUAAGUCAUAUGGCUCAGAACCACAUGGCCAGUGAGUGGAAAGUACAACACACCUCAUAGGCUGACCCCCAAACAAAAAAAAUAUAUCGAGCCAGGCGGUGGUGGUGCACACCUUUAAUCCCAGCACUCGGGAGGCAGAGCCAGGCGGAUCUCUGUGAGUUCGAGGCCAGCUUGGGCUACCAAGUGAG